GACGAACGCUGGCGGCGUGCCUAAUACAUGCAAGUCGAGCGCUGAAGCUUGGUGCUUGCACCGAGCGGAUGAGUUGCGAACGGGUGAGUAACGCGUAGGUAACCUGCCUGGUAGCGGGGGAUAACUAUUGGAAACGAUAGCUAAUACCGCAUAAGAGUAGAUGUUGCAUGACAUUUGCUUAAAAGGUGCAAUUGCAUCACUACCAGAUGGACCUGCGUUGUAUUAGCUAGUUGGUGAGGUAACGGCUCACCAAGGCAACGAUACAUAGCCGACCUGAGAGGGUGAUCGGCCACACUGGGACUGAGACACGGCCCAGACUCCUACGGGAGGCAGCAGUAGGGAAUCUUCGGCAAUGGACGGAAGUCUGACCGAGCAACGCCGCGUGAGUGAAGAAGGGUGUCGGAUCGUAAAGCUCUGUUGUAAGAGAAGAACGAGUGUGAGAGUGGAAAGUUCACACUGUGACGGUAUCUUACCAGAAAGGGACGGCUAACUACGUG
rnacentral:rRNA from 1 species